UGGCAUUAACGGGUAACGGGGAAUUAGGGUUCGGUUCCGGAGAAAGAGCCUGAGAAACGGCUAUUACAUCUAAGGAUGGCAGCAGGGGCGUAAAUUACCCAAUCUUAACUUAAGGAGGUAGUGACAAGAAAUAUCGAACCGGAGCAAUCCGGGAUUGGAAUGGGCCCAACGUAAAACCCUGGGCGAGUAACAAUUGGAGGGCAAGUCUGGUGCCAGCAGCCGCGGUAAUUCCAGCUCCAAUAGCAUAUAUUAAAGUUGUUGCAGUUAAAAAGCUCGUAGUUGGAUAUCUGGAGUGGUCUGCUGCUCACUUUGUGGGUGGUAGACCACAUCCAUCCUUCUGUUAACAUGUGUUGGUACUUCGUACUGGACAUGGGCUCAGAUAUUUUACCUUGAGAAAAUUAGAGUGUUUCAGGCAGGCAAGGCCGGAAUACAAAAGCAUGGAAUAAUGGAAUUGACACGACUCUGUGGUUGGCCAGGGAAGUGUAAUGAUUAAUAGGAACAGUUGGGGGCAUUAGUAUUUAAUUGUCAGAGGUGAAAUUCUUGGAUUUGUUAAAGACUAACUAAAGCGAAAG
rnacentral:rRNA from 1 species